UUGAAAUAAAAAAAAAAUCAUUAUGUGUUUUUCAACUAAAAACUUGGAAUUUAUUUUCUAGACCAGAUGUUGUGAUUAUUAUAUUUUCUAGACUAGAUGUAGUGCUUUAUCAUAUGAUAUGCUAAAUGUAUAUAUUGUAUUGUGUGUAUAUCUUGGAUGCGCAGGAGAUAAUGGCAGAAGAGACAGAGUCUCUUCUGCCUUAUUUUAAAGAAUUCUUCAAUAAUCAAAGUUAGCAUUUUCUAUUUUUUCUUUUUUACUUCAGUUUUUUCGAAGUUUAUGUUACAGUAAAUAAAUUUAUGAACAAUCUUUCAUACAUUUUGUUUAUUUAGAAAAUUUAGAAAGUAGAGUUAGUAAGCAAAAUUUCAUUAUAUUACUUUUAUGUAUAUUAAAUAAAAAAUAAUGAGGUUGGCUUUAGUAAUUUGUUCAUCUAUUUAGAAAAAUUAGAAGAUUUACAAAAGUCCAUAGAUAUCAUUUUAAACUACAUUUGUAAGUAACUAUAUUAUGUUUUAUGUCUCAUAAAAGUUUUAAUAAAUAAUAUAAUGUAAUCACUUAUAUAGUGACAAAUCCAACUUCCUCAGUAACGUAUGUUGUUGUACUCACUUAGACUUGACUUAUUGCAUUGAUUGAUUGUUUUUAUUGCAUUUUUAAUUUUCUUUUAUUUAUGUCUAGCUGUUGCUUCUUCUGCUACAACUGCUGCUUCUUCUGCUACAAGUAAGUUGUUCUAUUCAC